rnacentral:rRNA from 1 species
AUUGAACGCUGGCGGCAGGCCUAACACAUGCAAGUCGAGCGGAUGAAGAGAGCUUGCUCUCUGAUUUAGCGGCGGACGGGUGAGUAAUGCCUAGGAAUCUGCCUGGUAGUGGGGGAUAACGUUCCGAAAGGAACGCUAAUACCGCGUACGUCCUACGGGAGAAAGCAGGGGACCUUCGGGCCUUGCGCUAUCAGAUGAGCCUAGGUCGGAUUAGCUAGUUGGUGAGGUAAUGGCUCACCAAGGCGACGAUCUGUAACUGGUCUGAGAGGACGAUCAGUCACACUGGAACUGAGACACGGUCCAGACUCCUACGGGAGGCAGCAGUGGGGAAUAUUGGACAAUGGGCGAAAGCCUGAUCCAGCCAUGCCGCGUGUGUGAAGAAGGUCUUCGGAUUGUAAAGCACUUUAAGUUGGGAGGAAGGGCAGUAAGUUAAUACCUUGCUGUUUUGACGUUACCGACAGAAUAAGCACCGGCUAACUUCGUGCCAGCAGCCGCGGUAAGAC